rnacentral:rRNA from 1 species
AGAACGAACGCUGGCGGCAUGCCUAAUACAUGCAAGUCGAACGAACUCUUCGGAGUUAGUGGCGCACGGGUGCGUAACGCGUGGGAAUCUGCCCCUUGGUUCGGAAUAACAGUUGGAAACGACUGCUAAUACCGGAUGAUGACGAAAGUCCAAAGAUUUAUCGCCAAGGGAUGAGCCCGCGUAGGAUUAGCUAGUUGGUGAGGUAAAGGCUCACCAAGGCAACGAUCCUUAGCUGGUCUGAGGAGAUGAUCAGCCACACGUGGGACU